rnacentral:rRNA from 1 species
UUAUUAGGUAUGGUCUUUAAACCCAAAGGAUUUGGCGGUAUUUUAGUCUUUUCAGAGGAACCUGUCCCGUAAUCGACAACCCACGAUUUUAUGUACUUUAAUUUGUAUGCAGUUUUUAUACCUCCGUCAUAAGAAUAUCCUUUUAGGGUUAAUUUUCUUAAUUAUUUAAGAUUAAUAUGUCAGGUCAAGGUGAAGCUUAUAUUCAAGUGGAGAUGGGUUACAAUAAAGUUAUUUAUGCGGAUUUUUAUACUUAUAUUUAUGAUGAAGUUGGAUUUGAUUGUAAAUUUAUUUCUUAGGUUUAUUGAUUUUGGCUCUAAAAUAUGCACACAUCGCCCG